UUCUAGCCCGGGUGCAGCGGAAAUCCUUUUUUUGCGGCUGAACUCCGCGGAGGAAAAAAAAGAUUGCAGCGGAGACCGGUGAUCAU
rnacentral:sRNA from 1 species